UACGUAGGGGGCUAGCGUUGUCCGGAAUCAUUGGGCGUAAAGCGCGUGUAGGCGGUCCGGUAAGUCCGCUGUGAAAGUCGGGGGCUCAACCCUCGAAUGCCGGUGGAUACUGUCGGGCUAGAGUGCGGAAGAGGCGAGUGGAAUUCCUGGUGUAGCGGUGAAAUGCGCAGAUAUCGUGAGGAACACCAGAGGCGAAGGCGGUUUCCUGGACAGUUACUGACGCUGAGGCACGAAAGCUAGGGGAGCAAACAGG
rnacentral:rRNA from 1 species